UCGGAGCUGUGAGGCGACUGCGG
rnacentral:piRNA from 1 species